rnacentral:rRNA from 1 species
GUGGGGAAUAUUGGACAAUGGGCGCAAGCCUGAUCCAGCCAUGCCGCGUGAGUGAUGACGGCCUUAGGGUUGUAAAGCUCUUUCGCGCACGACGAUAAUGACGGUAGUGCGAGAAGAAGCCCCGGCUAACUUCGUGCCAGCAGCCGCGGUAAUACGAAGGGGGCUAGCGUUGUUCGGAAUCACUGGGCGUAAAGGGUGCGCAGGCGGGGUGUUAAGUCAGGGGUGAAAUGCCGAGGCUCAACCUCGGAACGGCCUUUGAUACUGACGCUCUUGAGUCCGGAAGAGGUGGGUGGAACUGCGAGUGUAGAGGUGAAAUUCGUAGAUAUUCGCAAGAACACCGGUGGCGAAGGCGGCCCACUGGUCCGGAACUGACGCUCAUGCACGACAGCGUGGGGAGCAAACAGG